rnacentral:rRNA from 1 species
AGUGAACGCUGGCGGUAGGCCUAACACAUGCAAGUCGAACGGCAGCACAGUAAGAGCUUGCUCUUACGGGUGGCGAGUGGCGGACGAGUGAGGAAUACAUCGGAAUCUACUUUUUCGUGGGGGAUAACGUAGGGAAACUUACGCUAAUACCGCAUACGACCUACGGGUGAAAGCAGGGGAUCUUCGGACCUUGCGCGAUUGAAUGAGCCGAUGUCGGAUUAGCUAGUUGGCGGGGUAAAGGCCCACCAAGGCGACGGUCCGUAGCUGGUCUGAGAGGAUGAUCAGCCACACUGGAACUGAGACGCGGUCCAGACUCCUACGGGAGGCAGCAGUGGGGAAUAUUGGACAAUGGGCGCAAGCCUGAUCCAGCCAUACCGCGUGGGUGAAGAAGGCCUUCGGGUUGUAAAGCCCUUUUGUUGGGAAAGAAAAGCAGCAGGUUAAUACCCCGCUGUUCUGACGGUACCCAAAGAAUAAGCACCGGCUAACUUCGUG